GAGCAGACAGGGAGGAUUGGGUGGAAAUUAUAAGGUCUCACUUGAAUGAAGCUGUGCCCCUGUUCUCAAUUCGGAUAAAUCUGUGAGAUCCCCCACCUCUCCUGCCAUUCACCUGCCCGGGCUCCACCUGCUCUGCUUCUUUGCAAAUGACCUGUCCCUCUGAUGUCAAUCACAAUGGCUUGCUUUUCCUUUACUAAACAUUUUGUGAAUUGAGGAAGGCACAAAUCACCAUUUGGAGGCAGAGAAUCCAAGCUCUCACUAGACAGAAUCUGCAUGUUUCUUGUUCUUGGACUUCUAGUCCUACAGACCGAUUGGGUCCUCAUCUGGGGAUCAUCUGGGAAGUUAGAAAACACAGCAAUGCUCACUCUAAACGCAGGAUAUAACUGUAGACAUCAGCAAAUGUGAGUCUGAUUUGCAGAUCUCCUACACCUGGACCACUGGCCUGAGAGAAACCUGCAGGUUUUGGACUUUCUCUGAGCUAGAUGAGGAGAACUUUGAUCCUGGUCUUCCUGAUACCCACCAGUGACUGGAUCAGACUACAAGGAACUAUUCUAUGAUUUUUUUUUUUUUUACUUUCAGUUCUUUCUAAUGUGUGUUUUCUUUGCAAUCCAUUUUAUCAUACACUACUUUGCAGUCUGUUUCCAUAACAGGAUGUAUAGGGGAAACAGGGACCCAGAUAAAUACUUAUCAAUUCUGAGAUUUCUGUUUCCAUUGCUAUAGUUUCCCUCUCACCAAGGGAUCUGCUACAGGUCU